rnacentral:rRNA from 1 species
UGCGUAGACGGUCAUGUAAGUCGGGUGUGAAAGCCCCGGGCUCAACCUGGGAAUUGCAUUCGAGACUGCAUGGCUAGGAUGCGGAAGAGGGAAGCGGAAUUUCCGGUGUAGCGGUGAAAUGCGUAGAUAUCGGAAGGAACACCAGUGGCGAAAGCGGCUUCCUGGUCCAGCAUCGACGUUCAGGCACGAAAGCGUGGGGAGCAAACAGGAUUAGAUACCCUGGUAGUCCACGCCAUAAACGAUGAGAACUAGACGUUGAGAGGGUAAGCCUCCCAGUGUCGUAGCUAACGCGCUAAGUUCUCCGCCUGGGGAGUACGGCCGCAAGGUUGAA